rnacentral:lncRNA from 1 species
CAGUGAUGCACAUUCAGCUGGCUCCUUAGGAGAACCAAGCCUAAGAAUAAUCUAGCUUUUGAAGAGAACCAAGCUUCUUUUUUCCUCUUCUGGAGAACCACAAACUGGCUUAACAGAGGGCUCUCUGACGCACAGUUUUAUUGUAAGAAGGCCAGUCACAGGAGACGGCCUACUGCCUUCAAGAAACAGCAUGGAAGAUUCCUUAUUUCAUCACCCCUGUACUUUUCAUUGAGGGUCUCGCUGUCUCACUCAGGCUAGAGUGCAGAUCACAGUUCACUGCAGCCUUCACUUCCUGGACUCAAGGAUCUUCCCACCCCAGCCUCCCAAGUAGCUGGGACUACAAGUAUGUGCCAUGAAACCCAGCUAAUUUUUAUUCUCUCUCUCUCUCUUUUUUUUUUUUUUUUGUAGAGAUGAGGUCUCGCUAUAUCCCCCAGGUUGGUCUUGAACUUGUGGGCUCAAGGAUCCUCCUGCCUCAGCCUCCCAAAGUGCUGGGAUUACAGGAGUGAGCCAUUGUGCCCAGCCAAUAUGUCUCAUACCAUGAAAAGUCAUAGGAUUUUGAGAAGACCAUACAGAUCUUUUGCUCCAGUGUUUAUCAAAGUGCAUAAAACAGGACUGUAGUUCCAUGUGAACAUAGUAAGUAGUACAGUAACAACAAAAUAACACAUGGGAAAUGGACAGUUAAGCAAACUAAACAUUUAUUUGCUUUGGGAAUUUUUCAGGUCUUUGUGACUCUCCAUGCAUCGGUUCCCCCAAAUAUGUAGCUUUGCUCAAAUGUAGUGGAUCAUAGAGUACUUUUAUUUACCAACUCAAGAAAGCAUAUGAGUUUCUAGAUCUAACUGAUGGUUUACAAAAGAUGCAGUGGGUAAAGAACAUAUUAAAUGAUACCAGGAGGAUUUAAUCAGCCAUUCCAGAAUGUAAGAGAUUCUACAAGAUAAAUGACCAGUUUCUCCAAUGACAAAGAAAUAGCAUUAACAGAAGAGGGUGGGCCAGUUAUAGAACAAAAGAGAUUUAAGAGAAAAAUCACCAUAUGUAAUAUGGGGACUUUUUGGAAAAUGAUCCAAACAAACCAAAUGCAAAUAGAUAUUUUUGAGAUAAGCAAAGAUAAUUGAACAUGAACUGGGUAUUAAAAAAUAUAAGCAUUACAUAUUCUAAAACCUAACUAUUGUUCAUUUUACUCAGUGUGAUUAUGAUAUUACUGUUAUUUUUUAGUUUGUUUUGAUAUACAUACUGAAGUAGUAAAGGUAAAUUAAUACCAGAAUUUUC